GUGCUCAGGUGCCUCGCGAGAUGUGCUCCCCUGGGGCUCUCUCUUCCUCUUGCUGCUGUCUCCAGAGCCCGUCUGAGCUGGUGCCUGCGGCUGGUGCUCCUGAGGAGCAGGUGCCUUGGGCUUGUGCUCAGGUUGUGCUCUGCUACUGCUGCUUGGGUUGGGGGAGACACUGCUGAAGAUUUGCCGUGCAAGGCUGGGAGUGGGCUCCGCAAGCA
rnacentral:lncRNA from 1 species